GGGAAGGUAGCUCAGUGGUAGAGUGCUUGCCUUGCACGCAUGAAGCCCUGGGUUCAAUUCCUCAGCACCA
rnacentral:tRNA from 1 species